UAGAAGAUGACGUUUUCCUCAACUCCUUAUCAUUCCCGCGUCCAGCCCGACAUGGGAAGCUGGACGGAGAACUGAUAAGGGCUUGUGGUUUACACUAAUCA